AUUCCACAAGGAAUGCGAAUCUUACUCUGCUGGUGAUAACAAUCGAAAGAUUGACCAAAGAGUGCAUGAGAUAUAUUAUCUAUAGCCGUCAGAACGUAGAUAAUAACCUCGCAUGGAAGAUUAUCCAUAACCGGAUUGUAGGUUGUUAAAUGAAUAAUCGACCGACAUCAUCCUGAAGAGAGCAAAAGCAAACUUGUUAAAGGAUGAACAUCCGAUUCCACAGGGAAUACGAAUCUUACUCCGCUGGUGAUAACAAUCGAAAGAUUGACCAAAGAGUGCAUGAGAUAUAUUAUCUAUAGCCGUCAGAACGUAGAUAAUAACCUCGCAUGGAAGAUUAUCCAUAACCGG
rnacentral:lncRNA from 1 species